UCUCUAUCCCUCUCCCUCCCUCUCUGUAAAAAAUCAAUAAAAUAUAUUUAAAAAAAAAUAAAAGAAAAACAACCCAAGACCACAGCUAUUGGUACUAUUUUCAAAAACACAGCAUCCAUCCUCACUCUCUGAUGAGGGAUUUGUCCAGUGGCCAGGGCAUCAGGAUUCCUGGGCUCCAGGCCCCAUAGGUGACUCACAGCCAGCCGCAGGCUGUGACUCCUGGCCUCAGUUUCCCUGGCUUGCUUUGUUGAUACUCUCUACCUACUGUGCAGAGUAUUAAUAGGAAUGAGGUGCUUUGAACUCUGCAGAUGAAAGAGUCUGGGGAAGCAGCACCCAAUCAUUAUCCCCUAUAAGGCUAGGCGUGGGAGCGGAGGUUGACUCCUUUCAUAUUGUUCCAGCCACAGGAGCCUUCUCAGAGCCCUUCACUCUGCUCUGGCUGUCAAAGCUGGAAAGCAGAGCUGUCGUUGCCAUCUCAAGGCUACUUCUGAAUAGAUCUUCCUAAACCGCCCAAACCACCAGUGACCUAUCUUCCCCUUGACUUGUGACUCAGUAAUACUCUACAGGUGUGUAAAUUCUUUCUUCCAACUGGCCUCAAAUCCUGUGGGAUACAGGCCAUAAUGUUUCACCAUUAGUAUCCACAAUUAAGAAGUCAGCAAAGUGAACUAUGAGAGAGCUAGGCUGACUGAAGUUCAAACUCAUCUGUUUCCUUUAUGUAAAGUGGGGCUUAGUAAUAGUCCCAAU